GGGGAGUACUGGCCAGAAAUUGCUCAUAUUCCUCAAAUAUAUAUCGGUGCUACAAUAGUUGACGACCCCGAAUAUAUUGACGACCCCGAAUGCCUGUGAUGAUUAAUAUAAACAAGCUCCCAUAGAUGAAAGUUUUUCUCUUUCCUCAGUAGCUUUUUAGUUUUGCUUAUUAAUUCCCCUUUCUUGUUUGUUAAUUAUUUUCCUUUGUUAAGCUAUUGUGUAAAAGUUUUGUUAUAAUUUGGUUAUUAUUUAUGGAAAAGACUCAAAUAUGUCAUUACACUAUAAGAAGUGACUCAUUUAUGCAUUAGUUAAAAGUUCGGCUUAUUUGUGUCAUUGUCGUUACAAAAUCAGCUCAUUUAUGCCAUUACUUUUUAAUGGUGGGUUUUCAAAAAUAAUUUUGUCAUGUGGCUUUUUAUUAGUAGUCCACGUCAUUAAUUAAAAUAAAUCUAUAUUAAUUUUAAAAUGUCUGCAUUAGUUAGUAUCGGGAUUAUUUGUCCCACUAUUUAUACCAUAGUGAUGGAAUAAGUUAUCCCAUAUAAAUGGCGUAAUAAUUGGGAUAACGGACUUCUUUUAAGCCUUAUUUAGAAAUGAGUUUUCAACAAUGUAUGCUCCCCUAAUUCGUGAUGGGAGAAAAGGGAAGUUCUAUUGGUAUGUCUCCUUCUUUUUCUUGCUUACCUUAAUCGUUCAUUGACUUCUUUUCUUGCAACUUUGGAGUAUAUAUUGGAGUCACUGGAAUUACAACUAAUCAGUUACUCUACGAUAAAAAGAAAGUUAGUGUAGGAUAGAAAUUUUGAGGCUUCUGUUAACCGUAACAUUUAUAAUGAUUUAAAAUCAACAAGAAACAAUCAAAGGAUAUACACUAAUCACUAUUUUUUCUAAUCAGAAAAAUAAUUGUUGUUGUAGAAAAAAAAAUACUUCGGGUUAUGUUAAAUGGAUCAAUUCUUUUUAAUGGGUCUAAGAUAUUUUGAAAUUAAUAUUGAUUUAUUUUAAUUAAUGACAUGUACCUCUAAUACAAGGUCACGUGGCAAAGCUAUUUUUGAAAACCCACCUUUAAAAAGUAAUUGCAUGGAUGAGCUGGUUUUAUAACGGUAAUGGCACAAAUGAGCCGAACUUUUAACUGAUAGCAUAAAUGAGCCAUUUUUGAUAAUUCAAUGACAUCUUUGAGCCUUUCUCCUUAAUUUUUUUGGUUCAUUUAAUUAAUGAUGUGGACGAAUCAUUGUUGACCAUGUGUACAAAAUGGUUUUGCCAAAAACCACCAAACUAGAUAAAAAAAAUGGCAUGAAUGAGCCUUUUUUGGGAACGGCAAUGACAUAAAUGACCCAACCUUUAAACGGAUGACAUAAAUGAGCCUUUUCUCAAAGUUCAAUAGCAUAUUUGAGCCUAACAAUCAUCGGUCAUCACAUAUAAAUGUGUUUAGAUGACUUAUUUUACGAGUUACUACUUUUGGUCCUUUUCUUCUUCCUUUCUUCCUAUGUUCCUCUUUCUUUCCAAAAUACAUUUAGAAUGACAGAUAUUAAUAUAAUUUAUGUAAAUAAUAUUGAGAAUAUAAACUUAUUUCUCACGUAAACAUGUAACCUAUGAAAGUUGUACAUUGAUCACCUUAUUAGUAUAACAUUGCUCUAGACAGAAUACUUACACCAUGCAUGCAUAUUCUUUUAUUUUGAAGUAAAUUAUAAACUUAUUUUUCACGUACAUUUCACCUUUAAUUGUGACCCAAUGAAAAGCCACUAAAAGAAAUUAAAACUCAAUAUAUAAUCACUUCACAGACGACCAUCCAAUAUUUUUGGAAUGGAGUACUUUUCUUCAUUAGGAAUUGGCAGUGAUACGGCUUUCUUUCAUGAAUGGCAGUGUCCCAUUUAUGUAAUGCUAAAUUUUUUCGGUAUUUUACAUUUGUCUCUUCGCUUGAAGUUUCAUUGCAGUAGCAAUUCUUGUAUUCUUGGCUUACUUGAGAUGAAGCAUGAGUUGCUGCAAAUGGAACAUACAACUCCAACUAAGAGGUACAUAGAAAAAGGCUAUUAUAAAUAUAUUACAUUUUCAUUGUCAGGAUUUGGACAAAGCACUCAAAAUUAUCUGGGAAGGGGAAAUCUGUUGAACAUCAAAACUAGGGAGGGGAAAGGCGCAAUGAAGGGUAUCCUUAAGGAGCUGUUCCAUCUUGUCUUCGUUGUCUUAAAGUCUGUCAAUUCUUGGAAUCACAAGGAAGAACUUGAAUGGUUAGAAACCGCGCAAAUCAAAAAUGCGGAUGAAGAUUUCCAAACACAUCUGUCUAGUUUGCCUUCCUUGAGAUGAAGCAUGCCUUGCUGCACAUGUAACAUACAGCUCCAAUGGAACCCAAAAUUACAUGAGAAUAAAUGUUGUUUGAUGUAACACACAAAAGAACAUGCUGUAUAUUGUGGCUAUAAAUUAUAAGGAAAGAUAUUGCUUUUUCAUUGUUAGGAUUUUGACAAGGCUCAGCGAUUAUUUGGGAAGUGAAAAGUUUUGAAGGGCAAGUUGUUGAAGCUUUAAGUGGUAUUUUAUUCUCAUGUUGGAUGGAACAUCAGGACUAUGGAUGUGAUGAUAGCUUGUAUUGUUGGCUUUUGGUUUCGGAUGAGAGACAAGAAUCGAAGGCUCGCUUCUUUAUGCACCAACAAUCAACAUCUCUCAUGUGUUUUGCCAAUGUGGUAUUUGACUAGGAUGUGACAGUGAUGUUCUUUUUACGCUGGAUACAUCUUAGCCAACAGAAAGCAAAAGACAACAUGAUUAUUGGAUUUCCAGUAUUGAGAAAUCUGAAUGUGGGUUAUUUCAAGCUUAUGCUCCAGCAUUGUUAAACUUAACUAGUAUAUGUGCCCGCGCAAUGCACGGAUAAUAUUAAAAAAUUAUAAUCUUCUUUAUUUGAUCA